rnacentral:tRNA from 2 species
GCUCUAGUAGCUUAUAAAUUUAAAGCAUUGUCCUUGUAAGACAAAGCUGGGUCUACCCCUAAAGCA